AGUGAUGCAGUGAAUUUGCAGAUAAUUCCAGUUCUUCAUAAAUAAUCUCUAGGAAAUUUGCAGUUUAUUCAUUCCAAUCUGGUCAGAUCUACUCAGUCACUGACAAAGGAUUGGAGCUAGUAAACUGUAUAAUUAUCUAAUUAUCCAAGUUCUGAUUGUUCUACUGUCAAAUUCCAUCCAUUCUCUAAGCCAUUUCUGUAAUGAGGGAUAAAACCUAGGUUCCGACUUCCCUCCAUUUUCCCAAAAGCAAAACCGAAUGAAAAAUACUCACGACGGAAGUCAGUCGCAUCUCAAAAUCAUCUCUAUGAAUGAUCCUAUGACUAUGUAAGAAAUCAACUCCGAGCAGGAUCUCCUUGGACAUUUGUUUAGCCAAAGAAGGUGGCAUGCCAGUUGGUGGACAAGCAGAGAUGAACUUGGCGAGGUCCCUGUCCACGUGCUCGAAGACAAGCCACAACGUAAGUCCUUUAUCAGGUCUGUCUGUACGUCUAUUUCUGUCACUCCUGUCAGGAGGCUGGAGGUAAUUUCCCUGGCAGACAUCGAGGAGUCUCACGAUAUUGGGAUGUUCGAACCUCUCGAGCUGCUUCAAUCCUGCGAUUUCUCUCAAUGUGGAUGUGGGAAGUCCAUCCUCAGUUAGAGAUACGCGUACCUUCUUCAGAGCAACCACCUGACCGCUCGAUACGUCCCUGGCCUUGUAGACAGUUCCAUAAGCACCAUCGCCGAUUUGCGAUAAUUCUUGAUAGUGUGCAUGUUCACCGAUGAAUGAAGACUCCAGGGAACCUUCGGCCUUUCUCUCUGUGCUGGAUUGCACGAGGCCGAGGGUUCCCGAAGUGCUCGGGACAGCUUCUUCAACUUCCAGCCUUCUGUCGUUUCCAGGAGUGGUGUCGAGAGUCUCUUCCGCUAGGAGAUCUAGUUCCUCUCCCGGAGGCUCUCGCUCUUCUCGUAGCUUUGAUCUCUUCUCCAGUGGGGGGGUUCCGGGGGGAGUCUCCGAGCUUGGAAGCCGGCGUCUCUCGGCCAUCACAACAUUUUUUUCAGUGGAUCUACCUGGAAUAAGCAUUUCGUAUGUAGACUGAUGGAAAAAAAUAUUUUCAUCGAAAUGUCGCUUUCUUCAAACAAGAAAUACUAUCAAAUACUUAUUACCUAUCUUAAAUGAAUACAAUUCGAAUUCAGGGAAUUCAUUUUCGAAGGACAAUGAGUUAGUUUUCUGGAGUUUAAUUUUUCCGGAAAUAAUUAUGGGACAGUUUUGUAUUUUCUUUGGCUAUGAAUCCGAGAAUUUGCUGUACGUUUCAAAUUUUUUCUUUUACAUUUCUAGGAAAUUUUCGGGAAACGCUUUCCCAUUGUGGAUUAUACGAAUGGGUAAUGUAUCCGUAAUUUUGCAGAAUAUUUUCCAGCCUAUUUAUUCAUCGGGCUAUCUCCUAGCUCAGAAUAUUCUCAAAAGAAAAUCGCAUCAGAUUUUGAAACCCUUUUCUCCCUUUAGAGUUCGAUCGUUCUUCGAAUAUUUUUUCGCCUGAUUUCCUCUGACUUUUUUCAUAAAGUUUGAGGAAUUCAGAGGGCAACGGGAAUGACGGUAACAUCUGCUGUAUUAACACCUGCCGUUGUAUUCAACCAUACUCUUUACGCUGGCGUCACCUUUGUUUCCCCGGUACGAAAUAUAUUCAAUGCUGGUCAAAUAAAAGUGGAUGGGUCUACUGUCAAAUAAAUAGGUUUGGAAUGCUAAGAUGUGGGAGGAACAAAAAAUAAUCGUGAUAACACCCGUUACUCAAUAGGAAGUGCACCCGUGGCCUGAAUCACACUUCCCUCUCCAUGAAUGAAAUAAAAUGAAAAUAACAGAACCUCGAGUUUUAUCAACUUCCGGCUUUGAUAAUCCGGGCUUCUUACUCUCCAAUUUAUUGGUGGGGGAGAGUCUCGGGGGAGUGCUACUUCUGAGAAAUUUUCAGGUCAAAAAUUUUUCCGUUGGGAAAAGGUUUCAACACUGGUGAAGAAGCAAUUGACGAUGUGAAGAAAAAAAAACAUUCUCUUCAACAAUUUUUUCUUGGAAAAUUGUCACGUUGUUCUAUGGAAUUAGAAUUAUUUUAUGAAGUGAAGAAUUUUUCCUUAUGAGCUAUAGAGAUGAGCAUUAUUCAUUGAAUGAGAAUUCUAGAAGAACAUAAACAUUUUAUGGUAAUCAAUAUUUUUGGAUGUAGACCUAGCUCAUUUCGAACUAUAAUCCGUGGAUAUUUACACAUAUGUUUGUAAAACUUGGAAUUUUGAGAUUCUACACCAAUCGACAUAAUUUCCAAAGAAAUUUCAAAACGUACAAAGUGAACGAUGCCGAUGCUCCCAUACAGAAGGAAAAAAUUGAAAACCAAAAAUAGUCCUGAAGGGAUUUUCAACCCCCUCUAUUGCCCUAUCUCCCCAGAAUUUGCCCUCCUACAAAACUAUCUGAGACACCGUGGGAAGUAGAACCCGUUGAGCUUUAAUGUCUCCGCAUUCCUUCUUCUGUUUACUCCAUUCCGCUUAUCAUCAUUGAUAGUAAAGGGCAGCGUAGCUCGAGUAACAACAAAUAAACGAGCCAGUCAUCCAUUGACAACGGCUCCCGCAUUGGAUUGUUGACGUAAAUAACAUGACUAACGCCAUUUAUUAAGCCCUCACGUACGGGGCGCCCUUAUGAUGCCAAAACUGUCACAGGUAUUCCAUAUGUUCUAAUGGAUGAAAAAUAAUGAAAAAAUAUGUAAUUACAACUCUAUGAUUUAUCUUUCCAACAAUUUUUAACGAGACCAGACUCGAGACAAAAAAGUUAUCAGACCAUUUCCCCAUAGCCGUUACGUUCUGAGAUAAGUUCAUUAUUAAUUGAUACUUUGUAAUUAUGAAAUCUGUCAUGUCAAAUGGAUCCAUGACUGGACCUCUGGGAAGAUGACCUCAUUUUUUUUUCUACAAUUUUUUUUUCUUUUUCCAUGCGUAAGAAUAUUCCGAGUAAUUUUUUUGAUACUUUUGGUAACGAAUAUCCCGAAUAUGUCAGCUUUUUUUCGUCUUCGUAUCAGUAACUGUUGGAAUGGAAACAAGUAUUUUGAGAAAUGAAAUUGGGUUUGGUGAAACAAACAAUCGACUGAAUCGAGUUCCAAUUAUUGAAAAGAAUGACAUCUCCGAAAAAAUUCCAUAUUCAAAAAGAGCUGUGGAAAAAUUCGAAAAAAAAAAUUGAAGAA